ensembl:snRNA U6 U6 spliceosomal RNA
GUGCUUGCUUUGGCAGCACAUAUACUAAAAUUGGAACAUUGUUGAGAUGAUUAGCAUGGCUUCUAUGCAAGGAUUCAGGUGUGAAAGAAAAGUUACUACUUAAU